UAAACUUAUAUUUUUUUUCCUUCCUGUGCAGAACAAUAAUCUGCCUUUGAAUUUACAGAUCUUGUCACUAGAACUGCAGAAAAAAAAAGAAAAAAAAAACUCUGAUUUGCACACAUCUUGUUGGACUGGCCAUGUUCUAACAAUUUGCAUAAAUGUUGGAAUGGGAAGACAGACUAUCUUGACUCUACAACCUGUCUGCCUUAUUCUGAACUCAGAAAAUGAGGACAUCCAGCAGAAAAAAAGCCAAAGAAUCCAAGAUUGUCUCAGAUCACAAAGAAAACUUGUUGCAGACUGCAGCUUGAGCCAUCCAAG
rnacentral:lncRNA from 1 species